rnacentral:rRNA from 1 species
UGGGGAAUAUUGGACAAUGGGGGCAACCCUGAUCCAGCCAUGCCGCGUGAGUGAUGAAGGCCCUAGGGUUGUAAAGCUCUUUUGUGCGGGAAGAUAAUGACGGUACCGCAAGAAUAAGCCCCGGCUAACUUCGUGCCAGCAGCCGCGGUAAUACGAAGGGGGCUAGCGUUGCUCGGAAUCACUGGGCGUAAAGGGUGCGUAGGCGGGUUUCUAAGUCAGAGGUGAAAGCCUGGAGCUCAACUCCAGAACUGCCUUUGAUACUGGAAGUCUUGAGUAUGGCAGAGGUGAGUGGAACUGCGAGUGUAGAGGUGAAAUUCGUAGAUAUUCGCAAGAACACCAGUGGCGAAGGCGGCUCACUGGGCCAUUACUGACGCUGAGGCACGAAAGCGUGGGGAGCAAAACAGGAUUAGAUACCCUGGUAGUCCACGCCGUAAACGAUGAGUGCCAGCCGUUAGUGGGUUUUACUCACUAGUGGCGCAGCUAACGCUUUAAGCAUUCCGCCUGGGGAGUACGGUCGCAAGAUUAAAAACUCAAAAUGAAUUGAC